GUGAAUCAUCGAAUUUUUGAACGCAAAUUGCACUCUUUUCGGUGAGUAUGCCUGUUUGAGGGUCAGCCUAAAAUAAAUCGACGUAGUCGCUGUUGCGCGGUGUCUUUCGUCGGCAUUUGGGUCAUGUUAAACCUUUGGGCUUUUUAAGCGGGUUAAAAUUUUCUUUACGAUUCGAAGACCGUUUCUAUGAUUUUACUUAUUACUCAGGUUUAAGGUUUCGAUCUUUAUUACACGUGGCCGUUGCAUGGGACUGCG
rnacentral:misc_RNA from 1 species